rnacentral:sRNA from 1 species
AGCCGCCGCAGCCUCGGCCGCCGGGCAAGUAGCUCCGAGCGGCUGCUUCCCGGUUGCCUCGACGAAGACAGGGGGCGCCGCGCUCCGCUUGCUCCGCGCCGGAGCCAUGCCCAGCAGCCCUGUGUAACCACCGAGUCCCGGCCGGAGCCGACCGGCCCAGUGUGCGCCUUCUUUCGGCCGAGCUGAGCUUUCGUGCACGCAACUCCCUCUGCCCCAGCCGGCCCCGCGCCACCAUGCCCCGGGCGACUGCACUUGGGGCCCUGGUGUCACUGCUGCUGCUGCUGCCGCUGCCUCGCGGCGCCGGGGGACUCGGGGAGCGCCCGGACGCCACCGCAGACUACUCAGAGCUGGACGGCGAGGAGGGCACGGAACAGCAGCUGGAGCAUUACCACGACCCUUGCAAAGCCGCUGUCUUUUGGGGAGACAUUGCCUUAGAUGAAGAUGACUUGAAGCUGUUUCACAUUGACAAAGCCAGAGACUGGACCAAGCAGACAGUGGGGGCAACAGGACACAGCACGGGUGGGCUUGAAGAGCAGGCAUCUGAGAGCAGCCCAGACACCACAGCCAUGGACACUGGCACCAAGGAAGCUGGAAAGGGGAGCCAGAGGGCCAUUUUUAAGCAGGCCAUGAGACACUGGGAGAAGCACACCUGUGUGACCUUCAUAGAAAGGACGGAUGAGGAAAGCUUUAUUGUAUUCAGUUACAGAACCUGUGGCUGUUGCUCCUAUGUUGGGCGCCGAGGAGGAGGCCCACAGGCCAUAUCCAUUGGGAAGAACUGUGACAAGUUUGGCAUUGUGGCUCACGAGCUGGGCCAUGUGGUUGGGUUUUGGCAUGAACACACCCGGCCAGACAGAGACCAACAUGUCACCAUCAUCAGGGAAAACAUCCAGCCAGGUCAGGAGUAUAAUUUCUUAAAAAUGGAAGCUGGGGAAGUGAGCUCUCUGGGAGAGACAUACGACUUUGACAGCAUCAUGCACUACGCCCGGAACACCUUCUCAAGAGGAGUUUUCUUAGACACCAUCCUUCCCCGUCAAGAUGACAAUGGCGUCAGGCCAACCAUUGGCCAGCGUGUGCGGCUCAGUCAGGGAGACAUAGCUCAAGCCCGGAAGCUGUACAAAUGCCCAGGUCCUACUUGUGCUUUUGUUAGCCAGAAAACAUCAAUCUGCUUGCUACACUUCUCACCAACCUGUUCCGAGGGCUUUGGCUGGCAAAGGGCGUGUGGGGAGACCCUGCAGGACACAACGGGAAACUUUUCUGCACCUGGUUUCCCAAAUGGGUACCCAUCUUACUCCCACUGCGUCUGGAGGAUCUCGGUCACCCCAGGGGAAAAGAUCGUAUUAAACUUCACAUCCAUGGAUUUGUUUAAAAGCCGACUGUGCUGGUAUGAUUACGUGGAGGUCCGGGAUGGUUACUGGAGAAAAGCCCCCCUUUUGGGCAGGUUUUGUGGCGAUAAGAUCCCGGAGCCCCUCGUCUCCACGGACAGCCGGCUCUGGGUGGAGUUCCGCAGCAGCAGCAACAUCUUGGGCAAGGGCUUCUUUGCAGUGUACGAAGCUACCUGCGGGGGAGACAUUAACAAAGAUGCCGGUCAGAUUCAAUCUCCCAACUAUCCGGAUGACUACAGACCUUCCAAGGAAUGUGUCUGGAGGAUUAUGGUUUCAGAGGGGUUUCACGUGGGACUUACCUUCCAAGCUUUUGAGAUUGAAAGGCACGACAGCUGUGCAUAUGACUACCUGGAAGUCCGGGAUGGCCCCACGGAAGAGAGUGCCCUGAUCGGCCACUUUUGUGGCUAUGAGAAGCCGGAGGAUGUGAAAUCGAGCUCCAACAGACUGUGGAUGAAGUUUGUGUCCGAUGGCUCUAUCAAUAAAGCGGGCUUUGCAGCCAAUUUUU